GGCACACUUUUUAUUAACAGAGGACAUAUUGGAUGAGUGACAUGUUUAUUAAUAGGAGAGUAUGUGGUACACUUUUUAUUUACAUAGGAUAUAUGGGAUUCACUUUUAAUUAACAGGGACGUACGGGAUGCAUUUUUAUGAACAGGGUCUAGAUGCACUUUUUUGUAGACGAAAAGCACGUCUGGCGUAGAUUCAAAAUUUAAUCCUGGUAUCUAUGAGUAUUUUAUUAGCAGGGAACACAUGGGAUGCAUUUUUUUUAUUAACAGGGUCAUAUGUUGCACUUUUUUUUUAGCAGGGGAUAAUAGGAUGCAUUUUUUAAUAACAGGGUCAUAUGUUGCACACUUUUUAUUUACAUAGGACAUAUGGGAUGCACUUUUAUUAUAAUAGAUAAUGUGUGGUGCUUUUUACUAUAAGAGGACAUGUGUGGUGCUCUGAACUGAAAUCCUUUAUAAACAAGAGUAGACUUGUGGUGCACUAUGUUCCUAUCUUCU
rnacentral:lncRNA from 1 species